UACGAAGGGGGCUAGCGUUGUUCGGAAUCACUGGGCGUAAAGCGCACGUAGGCGGAUUUGUAAGUCAGGGGUGAAAUCCCGGGGCUCAACCCCAGAACUGCCUUCGAUACUGGCGAUCUUGAGUCCGGAAGAGGUGAGUGGAACUCCUAGUGUAGAGGUGAAAUUCGUAGAUAUUAGGAAGAACACCAGUGGCGAAGGCGGCUCACUGGUCCGGUACUGACGCUGAGGUGCGAAAGCGUGGGGAGCAAACAGG
rnacentral:rRNA from 1 species